CGGUUGAUCCUGCCGGACCCUAUCGCUAUCGGGGUAAGACUCAGCCCUGCUUGUUGGGCGACUCCCAUCCUACCAUUUGGAGGACGCGACACACGGCUCCGUAACACGUAGUUAAUCUGCCCUUAGGACGGGGAUAACCCCGGGAAACUGGGGCUAAUACCCGACAAACGGAAAAGCCUGGAAUGGUUUUCCGUUUAAAUGAUUUUUGGAGCAUGCUUCCAAAAAUCGCCUAAGGAUGAAACUGCGUCCGAUCAGGUUGUUGGUGGGGUAACGGCCCACCAAACCUAUGACCGGUACGGGCCCCGAGAGGGGGAGCCCGGAGAUGGGAACUGAGACAAGGUCCCAGGCCCUAAGGGGCGCAGCAGGCGCGAAACCUCCACAAUACGCGAAAGCGUGAUGGGGUUACCCCGAGUGCCGUCCGUUGAGGAUGGCUUUUACUCAGUGUAACAAGCUGGAGGAAUAAAGGGGGGGCAAGACUGGUGUCAGCCGCCGCGGUAAUACCAGCCCCCUGAGUGAUAGGGACGAUUAUUGAGCCUAAAGCGUCCGUAGCCGGCUUAGCAAGUCUUCCGUUAAAUCUGACGACUUAAUCGUCAGGGUGCGGAAGAUACUGCUAGGCUUGAGGGCGGGAGAGGUUGACGGUAUUCCAGGGGUAGGGGUGAAAUCCAAUAAUCCCUGGAGGACCACCAGUGGCGAAGGCGGUCAACUAGAACGCGCCUGACGGUGAUGGACGAAAGCUGGGGGAGCGAACCGGAUUAGACACCCGGGUAGUCCCAGCUGUAAACGAUGCGGGCUAGGUGUUGGGGCAGCUACGUGCUGCCCCAGUGCCGCAGAGAAGUCGUUAAGCCCGCCGCUUGGGAAGUACGGCCGCAAGGCUGAAACUUAAAGGAAUUGGCGGGGGAGCAC
rnacentral:rRNA from 1 species